GUUACGUCUAAUUAUUCUUUUAAGUAAAUAAGCGCCCAAUUGGCCUAGCUACAAAUAAAAGAUUUCGCUUCCAGGCGUUAUAAAUAAUUCAUUAAUACUGUAUUCAAAUUAUAGUAAAACGUGUGAUGUCACAAUUUCUGACUUUUUUUGUCAUCAGCUCGUUUUUCUUAUAGGACUAAAUGGCUGAACUAAUAAGCAUUUCCCUUAUGUUCAUUGUGAUCCCAUAGGACUAGGCCCACUAGACAUAAAAUUGCUUUGAUUUCCCUAGAUUUUUCUGCUUUUUUACCUCAUAUACUGUACAUUAAUGGAUUAUAAAAUGUUUGCAUCCAUUUUAUUAAUAUAUCGGCAUCUUUGGUUAGGUUUUCUUAAAGAUAAGCUUCAAAUAAUUUAUCAUCUGAUGACUCUUGAUAACGAUAUUCCUUUUCUCUUCAUAUCUUCCAGAUAUAUUAAUUUUUCAAUUCAGAAAUCUGUUUUAUCGGUACAAAAACUCGACUAAUCUGAUAGAAUUUUAUCAAAAAAACCAUCAAAUUUCAUUAUCUGUUACUUGUAAUUCUGUAUAAAAACUAAAAUUAUAUGUAAAUAGAUGUCUAAGUUAACAAUAGAAAAUUUUUAUGCUAUUAAAAAUAAAAAUAAUUAAGAUAUAAGUAAAGUAAUCACUUAAAAUGAAUGGUGUGUCUACCAGUGGCCAAGGGGUCUUUGUAACCUGAACACUGGGAGUUCGGUCGUGGGUUCGUGCCUCGCUCGGACGGGCUGGCCACGUUUCCGUGUUUUCUCCACGUCCGUAACGACUAAAUAGGGACCAGUUUCCCCUAAAAAAACCUCCCGGAAGUCAUCUCCCCCUAGGCAGAUCGCCCAAGUGUUGCGUUGCCAUAACAAAAACCAAACAAACUUAAAAUGAAUGCAAACAAGCGCCCAGGCGGCAUCGUUGGUUUACUUGAUAAAAUCAUAGAAAAAAACUAUUAAUUGGGCUGCAAUUUGAAAAAAAAUUGUAGAUAAAUUCCCAAUGUCAUCCGUCCACCUUUCUGUCUGUCUGUUUAUCUGUCCUUUUUAAAUCUCGAGAACGGUAUUAGAUAGAAGAAAGUCCAUGCCAGAUAGGGCAGGAGGCUCAAUUAAUUACAUACGAACUUCCGGUCUAAACUGGAAUUUACGUGAUUUCAAUUCAAAAAAACUUCCUCUUAAAGCAGUUAAUAGAUGACUGGCAUUACUCUACUGUUAAAGGAAAAGUAUGAUGUACAGGGGCAAGCCACAACAAAUUUGAGAUGGAGAGCAUAUAUGGGAGGUGCAAAAGUAGGUUACAGUUGUUAUUAUGGAAGAAAAAACAUACAGGAAGAAAAAACCUUUUUUUAUGUACAAAUUAAAUCACAAGUAAGGAAACUUCAUUUCGAUGUUUGUGGAAAGGCUACCGAAGGAGGCAAAAUGGCAAUAAAUUGGUAUGCAAGACAAUUAUCCAAUUUUCCAGUCGUAAUUAUUUUGGGAGCCGGCUGCCUGUCGUUCGUCUUCACUAUAACCUCCAUUCUAUCAUUCGGUUUUCCUUCGUUUAAAGAUCCGAUAUUGGGUUUCGAAUCACGUGGUACCGAAUUGUCUCAGAGAACCACAGCAUGGAAGCACCUGAUGGAAAAUUCCGGUUGGAACGGAUCUCUCAGCAUGUAUCCGACCAGAAACGAAAAUCAGAUUACAUCCAGGAGGGAUGACAGUAGAUCGUACUUGCCUCCUUUAUCCGCUAAUGCAACCACCAUUAUUCUAGAGAAUGAGAAGGAAAGCCUCAACGAAUUCAUAAAUGGUAGAAUGAAGAACAACCAAGCUAACGACAGAUCCAAUUUUUUCUGUAAAGAUCCAGGAAGAGGGAACGUUCGUGUCGUUUUUCAGUCUUCUGUAGAAAACAGCAAUCUCUUUACUCUGAAAUCGUUGUUAUCUAUCUGCGAUCUUGAUUAUAAGAAGCUGAGGAACGAUGCACACUUCAUCGAUCUCUGCAGCCACGACGGAUCUCACGACUGCUGUCGAAGUUGGUCUCUUCCCAAUUAUGUGGCCCUCCUCACCAAUCAUUCCUACUGCAAAGACAUCACACGAGACGACGUCUCCUACGUUCUGAAAGUACUGAAAAAUUGUGCGGGCUUUUAUCACGAUUUAAAACUAAGCCACGACUGCACCAGUAAUCCUAACUUGUGCGGGGGUGUACCUCACGAAUGCACUCGACAUAAUGCGGUUUAUAACAUCCUACACUUCUUGGCCGAUUCCAAAUUUCUGAUUUCCAAACGCGGAGACGAAUCUUCUAUAUCUUCUGUUUUAACUUACACCACAGUCUUCCUACCCAUUCAUCAGGGGAUCGAAUCCCUCGAUUACUAUUACGAUCUUCAACAGAAAGAACUUACAGAUGGGGUGACGGAGGUUAUAGGGAUGGAAUUUGGAUUGAAGCACGUUUUACUAGAACACGGGCUCUACCACGACGCCAUUUUCGCAAUUAUAGCUGUACUCGUUGUGUUUUUGUGUAUUUGGAUGUUCACUACAUCAUUCCUGUUGACGUUAAUGACAGCUAUUGCCUUGACAUCCGCUCUAGGAACCACUUACUUCGUGUACACAGCGGUGUUUAGGAUACCGUAUUUUCCUCUGAUGAAUGUCCUGUCGGUUAUUAUUCUAAUCGUUAUAGUUACGACAGACGUAUUUGUUUAUAGCAAGACGUGGUUAUCGAUAAAGACGGAUAAGUCAAAUGGAAUAACGACAAAAAUUGUACGAGAUACUCUCCAGCAAUUCUGUCCGUCCAUGUUGAUUAACAAUAUUACAAUCGCUGCAGCUUUGUAUAGUAACAUGUGCAGCAGCGUUACUGUCGUCAGAUGUUUUAGUAUAUUUACAGGCACAGCGGUGAUCGUAAAUAUGCUUCUUACUUUAAUCUGGCUUCCAGCAUCACUCAUCAUUAUAGACAGAUGGUUCUCUAGCACGUGUUGCAUCUGCAUUCCUCCAUUUGGCAUCUAUCUUCCUUAUUUCCAAAAAUUUCAAUGGUGCUCUUACGGUUGCAAUAUCUUAUGGAAAUUUCACUACGGUUUCACGGAUUCUUCCAGGGUCUUUUUUGAGAAAAUACUUCCGUGUCUCAUCAUCAAACCCAGAUGGUUUUGGCUGAUAAUACUCACCUCGCUGGCUAUGGGGAGUGCAGUCGUUGUAUUCUUUCAACCGGCUCUGUUGCUACCGAUCAGCAAAGAGAUGCAAAUAUUUGGGUCCGAACACCCCUUCGAAAAAUACGAUUUACUUCUUAAGCAGUUGUUCUGGUACGAGAAAGAAUCCGAUCAUCAGACAUAUCACAAUUUACCGAUUAGGAUAGUGUGGGGCGUGUUACCCGUGGAUAAUGGACACUAUCUUAAUCCUCACGAUCGUGGAAAUCUUGUCGUGGAUCGCAGUUUCCUGAUAACUUCUAGAGAGUCUCAAGAAUGGCUACUGUCAUUUUGUAAGAAGUUGCACAAUCAAACGUUUUGCAAGCCGACUUCUCAAAUGCCAAAAUCUAGUUGCUUCAUUGAAAAUUUCAAAUAUUGGAUGGAGAGAAUGUGCGUGGACGGUGUGUCUCAUCAGAAUAGGACCCCGUGUUGUCAGACGUCAAAAUUUCCUUACUCGGCCGACGUUUUCAAUUUAUGCAUUGGUGAAAUUAUCGGCAUUCUGCAUUAUACCCCGAGUUACAUCUUCACGUCGGGUGUUGCCGGUCCCAGAUUUUCUAAAGAGACGGGUGACGUUGGAGCUAUUGUUAUAGAAUACGGGAGCACAGUGUCUUCUACGGGCACUUAUGAAGAAAUCAAAGAAUUCGUUACUUCCGUUGAUAAUUGGAUGAAAUCUGCUCUGAAAGAUGCACCCGCAGGAAUGAAGAACGGUUGGUUCGUUAGUGACAUGGACUUUUAUAAUCUUCAAUCUUACUUAUCAAGUGGUACUCUAGCCAUAAUUGGAGUUGCUGUGGGUGCAGUAUCACUUUCGUUACUCGUCACGACAAUGAAUCUGUUGAUUGCUUUUUGUUUAAUUGUUACAACCACUUCGGUUGUUUUAGUUACACUGGCUUCAUUUAUAAUCCUAGAGUGGAGGUUGCAAACGGUAGAAACCGUUUUAAUUACUGUAACAACUGGUCUAUCGGUGGAUUUAUCUAUCAGAUAUGGUACCUCUUAUCGAAAUUCUCCCCAAGACGAUAAAGAAGGAGCGUUGGUUUAUAGCCUUUCCAGAUUAAGCAGUCCAAUAGCAAUGGCAGCUGUAAGUUAUUUUCUAGCCGGAAUUAUAUUGUUACCGACAUCAAUUAUCGCAUUUUUACAGAUAGGUGUAUUUUUGAUAAAUAAAACAAUUAUAAGCUGGAUAUAUUCGACGUUCUAUCUUCAUUCUUUGUUAAGUGUACUGUCCCCGUGUAGAGAUUACUUCCAAAAUAAGCAGAUUCAACACGACAAAUCUCUCUACGCUCUAUCCGAAUCGACAGUUUCUACUUCGAGCAUAAGUUGCCCCUCGCAAGUUCAAGUGUCGUGCGAUCAUCACCAGUUAGAACCGUUAUCUGUUAACCGAAUAGGGACAAGGAGAAAUUACUCGAAGAAAGGAAGAUCUGGAAGCUUAUCACUCUUCAAGUGCGACGAUCCUUCUUGGUACGGACACCCCAAAAAACCUUCCAGGAAAGUGAGCCUUCCUGUGGUGCACGUUAGUAACCCGAUCGAUCCUAGCCCAAGACACGUUUCGGGUGCUACAAGCGCUACGACUUUGGUGGGUGUAGACGACGAUAGAGACUCAGUUUUAAACUGCCGAAAGGAACAAGAGAUGUGGUCACCUACGGAAAUACUAGUGUGAAUUCCAUCGUAAAAAAAGUAGCCUAAAAUGUACAUCUGUAGAUGAACGAAAUAUGUACAUCCGUAACCGGUUACGAGGGAUAAAUCGAAGAUUGAUUUGAUUAAGCUUCAAAAAAUGGUCUCUGCGAAAUGUCAAAACAUAUUCUUAAGAAUAGCGAUGUGAAUAAAUAAGUAAACAAUGGAAGAAGCGCGUGACGUCAAAAUAUAAAAAUUAAAAUUCAACGAGGAGAAGAGAAGAAUUUAAAAGCUAUCAAUUUUUAAGUUUUGAAUACGUUGCAAGGUUU
rnacentral:misc_RNA from 1 species